UGUGAGAUAACAUUAAGUGGUCUUGCUAUGCAAGAACACUUAAUUAAGUGUUCUUGCAUAGCAAGACCACUUAAUGUUAUCUCACAUAUAUAUU